AGAGUCCUGAGUUGUACGUGAUUUACGGAAGUUUUGAGCCAACACCAAUACACAGGGAGCCCGGAGUCUCUUUGGGGAACAUAGGCCUCUUCCCAGAGGACAUGUGAACUAUGGAGCAGGGCACCCACCUGCCGAGUCAGGGAUUCAAAACCAUGUAAAUCACGGCAAAUUCUGGGACUCUU
rnacentral:other from 1 species